ensembl:lncRNA
AGUGUAAUCCAGGGAAGGUCAGGGUAGAGGCAUACCACAGCUGGACAAGUAAUAUUUGAGGAGCAUCCUGGAGCGCUCAGUUAAAUUGAAGACUACAGUGAAAUCCCUCUUUUUCUCUGAUACCAGGCUCAAUCUUCCUGGUUCGUAAUCACUGAUUAUGAAGCCUUGCUGCAUCUCAAACUGGACUGAUUUUUGUGCCAAAUGCAUAAAUGAAAUGGGAGCUUUCAAAAGAGUGAAAGAGUAUCAACCACAGAUCAGCAAAACAAAAGAACAAAGAAACAACAACAAAAAAACCCAACAAACAUUACAUUCCCCUUUUCUCUAAAUUGAAACUCCUUUACAAAAGGUACACUGAAGGCCCUUGACAUUUGACCUCCACCCUGUUGGUCAACACUAAAACAUUUAGUUAUUAACCCAAAGCCUGGAGAUUUUUCAGGCCCCAGACUUUUUACUGAGCUGGCAGCACAGAGAUUAAUGAUUUGCACAGGCUCACCCCACGGUGCCUGGCAGCUGGGACACAGCCACCAUGGCCUUUACUUCCGACAGAGAUAAGGCCAGGGCUCUGGAAGACAACGAGAUGGGAGAGAGGGCAGACUCAAAAGGAGGCCAGCAUCCCUAGCUGCAAAUACAAAGGACAACCUAUCAUGAAAGCAAGACUGUGAAUUUAGCAUCCUUUCCAACUUUUCAAUUUUACAUGGUGCUAAAACAGUGACUUAACCUGAAAAAGUUCCAGAAUGGGAGAUGAUAUUUUAUGUUAAACCAUGGCUCAUCCCAAGUUGUAUUCAGGUAAAACUGAACUGAAAAUACAAUCCCAAGAUUUUAUUACAUAGAAAAUGCUGCCUUUGAAAUGAGAGAUCCUUGUGUUCUCCUUUUGCAGCUCCUUGCAUUCUUCUUUUCAUCUCAGCUAUUCAUUCUCUCUUUUUUUUAGUAAAGUAUUGCACAUAAACACAAGAUUGAUGAGGUUGAAAACUUUCCUUUCUUUUUUAACUGUCAUUAAUUUUUUGCCCCAGUUUAUUAUACGUGAGCAAAUCCAGAAAAAAAUGUGCCUUCAUAUAUAGCACAGCACACAUUUUGUGUACUGAAAGUAGACACUGGAUUGUAGUCUCAGGCAUCCACUGAACACACAGACUCUGUGAUGGAAGAAGCGAUGGUAAAAUAUGGGAAAUAUCCUAUGAGUCACGUCAGGGAUGCAUGAGCAGAAAACAGAUUAAUUUGUCUCUUUGAUCUCCUAUGUACAGAAUGCAAUCUGAUUUUGGUUUGUUUGCUUAGGUAAUUUGCAUUUUCUCCACAUUCAAAUCAACUUUCUCCUCUCAUGUCACAGCACAAAAAGGAUGAUCAUCUUCAAAAAAUAUAUGUGUGAGACAGAACAGAUAGCUUCCAAAGUGUUACUUUAAUAUUCAUUCUUGGAUUCUCAGAGGGAAGCUAUGCUUUACAGCUGUCAGUAGAAAACAGGUACCAUUACAAGGGAGGAAGAACAACUGUUGGUUAUGUUAUCCUGAGCACUGAAAUUAGCCUUUUUGGUUGUUUACAUCACUUUUAUUUAGACUGCAGCAAGCCAGGCCCAGCUGAACAGAAGUACAUCUGCAAACAGACCUAAGUGGCUCAUAGUUCACAAGUGCCAAAGCACAAUGAGCUGCUGGUGGGGUCUGCACCAGAUGCAGAACAACCCUGCUACCUCUUUCUCAUUCCAGAGACAGCGACCAGGGCAGCUUGUGGGCAUCUCGGGGCUUCUUGGCCCUCAGCACAUGUGGAAAAAGGGCAGACACCAGACCAAAAGGCUGUCCGGGCAGCUGGCACUGCCAGCUCUGGAGCCUGGAGCAAUCCCAGGGAGUACGUGUGUAGAAGUGCUAAUGGGAGAUUGUGACCUACAGCAAUCCUCGUAGACACUGCUGCUAACCCACUGUAAAGCCUGUUCCCUGUGGGGCAGCAACGGGGGGACGGGGGGGGGACAAUGGAACAAAAGAGACUUUUGAUACUCGUUUCCUAGGUAGGCAAACUGUUCUUGGCCAUAGCUGGGAAUUAUUUUGCAGGAGGCAAAAGGAAAAAAAAAAAAAAAACAGGAGAAACAGCUGCAGCUUUUAUUGCAGCAGUUCACAGUCCUGCUGAAUACAGUAAUAUUUAAUGAACGGCUAAUAAGCAGAAAGGCUGGUGAUAAAAAAGAGUUUAUCUGCACAGCUUCCUCCUCGAAGCCUUGGCUCUAUCCUCACAAUAGCAAGAAACCAUAAAAAUGAAGGCAGCCUAUAACAUCUGAGAUCAUAUUCAAAAACAUUUCCAGAGAAAUGUUUAAAGUUUAAGCACAUAGAUAUUAGGCGACUGAUUUAUUAUUAUUAUUAAUAUUAAUAUUAUUAUAUAUUAUUAUUUUAUAUUAACAGAAAAUUAAGAGAUAGGGCAUAAAAUGACUGUUACAAUGAGCAGCUUUCUCUAGAAACUGGUCUGUCGUGGUGAAUAAAAUGUAGAUUUCCACAAUAGUACUUUACAUCAGAGAUCUUUAUUAUUAUCAGCUGUAAGAAAAAAAAAAAAACUAAUUUUUUAUGUAAAGAUACAUUCACAUAAACUUUUAUUCCCUAUGAAAGUCAUGCCUUUCUUAUGAAUGCUUUAGAUUCCUGGGAACGUUUAACUUGAAAUGGGAAGAAUAAAUGCUAGGGUCACAGAUGAAAAAAAACCUGGAAAACAAACAAAAAAACAUAUAAUAUCAAAUAAAAUCAAUAUAUGCAGAAAUCAAACAUGGAAAAAAAGAGAGAGAGAGAGACUCAAAAAAGUUUGUAAAAAGAAUUCCUUUGAAUUCAGUGAUCACUCUGACACCUAAUAUUGAGAGUAGUGGGAAGAUUAUUCUGGAUAUAUUAUCAAAACUAUUGCACUGGCAUUAUACAGAAAGCAAAAUAUAUUCUGUUUAAUGUAGGCAGAACUUUUUUCUGAAAUUCCCAAACAAUUUAGCCAUUCAAAAUUAUACUGAAAGGUAUUUAAUAAUGAAUAGAUUAAUUAAAUCACCUGAUCUCUUAUGGAAAAAAAUUGUUUCCAAGUUCCACAUGUUCUGUAUAUUCCACAGAUUUUUGCCAUUUUUGAAAGGAAGAAUUUCAACUUGGACCAAAUAAAGUAAUAUACUUUUACUAUUUUUGUGCACUUGUUCAUGAUUUAUUACAGUACCUAUAUUUGUAGUUGUUUGAUUUUUUUUCCUUUCAAUUUCAGCAAUUGUAAGCUAUAAAAAUAUAGCUUCAAAGUACAUAGAGCUUAAUUUUGAAACAUUAGUCAGACAAAAUGUGCAUUAGUCAGACAGAAAGCCAACUAGAACAGUUGUAAGCCAAUGGGGCUUCAUGAAUUUUCCUACUAAAUAAGAGAGCUACAUCAGGCAUGUGAAAUCAUCAAGGGGCAAAACCUCAGCUCAAGACCAAGGAUCCAAGAUAUGGGGCUCCUCCCGCAAUGUCUUACUGUCCUGCUCUAUUCCAGGAACUGAAACAGAAAAGCUGUCAGAAAAGUCAUAUCUGGUUGUAACAAAAUUAAAAAUCAUGGAAAGAUGAACAUCUACUAUUGCCUUUUGCUGUUCUGAAAUUUGUUUAUAUACCUAAACCAUUCCUGCUCAUAUUUGCAGUUCAAAUGCGGUUUUAAAGGCUUUACAUCAACCUCACCAAUCAUACUGGGGCAUAAGUUCUUGAAAAGUCACCGUGUUGCAUCCAGGUUUCCUAGGAUGGGAUGUUAGAAAACUUCAACUCCAAGGUAGACACAGUACUUAAAGAGAGCACCAAGUGAGAUCAGGUUUAUGGCCUGUACGUAGGGGCUCCUGCUUUAGGUAAAAAGCAAUUGUCCUUAACACAAAUGUCCUUAUGGUCUGAUAAAUUAAAUAAAUACAUAAUACAUAUACUUUUUUUAGUAACAAAAAGUACUCUGAAAUUAAUAGUUUUGUUUUCCACUGUAAUAUGAGAGCCAACCAAGGGUUAAAUGCAAGUGGAGAAGGAAGAAUGAUGUCAGUAGACCAUGGAAGUAUUUCCUUCUCCAUAUAACAACUCACAAGGAAAUAAUUUUGGAAAUAAGUGUUUAACAAGACCAAGAACUUCCAGGGGAAGCAGCUGCAAUGGCAAAAGAUUAUUUUAACUUCUCUUUCUCUGGGCAGGCUCCAAGAUUCUAGCACUUAAAAUAUGCUGGAUUAACUCGUGGUUGAAUAAUCCAUGCAAAACGUUAAAUUUGUCCCGCAGCUGAUACAGAUCCUUUCACUACUCCCUUGAUACGCAUUAUAAAGUCUAUCUGUGGGCUGCCUCAGAAUGGCAUUUCUGGUAAUGAGACUGGACCCCAAGUGUCUUUGCUAUUAAGAGCUCUGUUCUUUAAGGAGGCUCAAAUAAACCACCCCACCAGACCAGGCAGUAUUUCACAUCAGUCACUAUAGCAAUACUAUUGCAGAAGUUACACCCACUGUAAUGUAACUCAGAAUAUUCACAUUGCAGUCUUCGCCUAUGAAGCUUACUCCCAGAGCUUCUGAAUACUCAGUGUCCCCACUCAUUUCACCAAGGGCUGUGGCCCAGAUAGCAGGGCCAGAUUUGCCCUCACUAUUAAACCAUGUGCAAUGAGACUGCAUCAGCCGCAGUAGAUAAAUUCUAUUUUGUAGAAUGUGCCUCUGAUUAUAGAGUCAGAACACCUAGGAAAUUAUAGUUUUGUUAUAAACAGGUUAUCUAUUCUGGCCUUAUAAUUGCUGAGAAUUGACAAAUGUUGUCUUAGUAAUUUUUUUUGUCUUUUUUCCAAAUGCAAAGGGCUCUUGCAAAAAUGCAUAGACCUCAGUUAGUAGGUUGAAAACAUUCAGUGAUAACAAUUAUUAAUUAACAGUAGUGGGAUAUUUAAAGAUAGGCCUUCCAAGUUUUGUUAUGACUUUGAGAGAUAACUGAUGUGCAGAAAACAAAACAAAACAAAACAAAAAAAGAGCUGUUCUGCUAAGUACCAUGUAUCUUUUUAUCUGUAAUGAAGUUUAUUUUCCCUUUUAACAUCAACAACAAGAAGCUACAGAAAAACAGACAAGGAAAUUAAAUCUAAAAGUUAUGUUAAAGAUAAUUAACACUGUGACAUAAUCUGACAAAAGCCAGGAAAUUGAAAGCUAAGGCUGACACUCUAUCUCUAAUGCUGUUUUCCAUGACAUGACUUAAAGCAUGAGUUACAGCUUUAACUUUAAAUUUCCUGUCUUUUGUCAGUUUGUGUCACAACCUCCACAUAUUUAAACAUCAGUCUUGUGCAUUUAAUUCUAUAUUACACUUUUUACUGCUGAUUCACAUUUCAAUAAAACAGAACCUUCUAAAAAUAGUUCUGAGAAAAGCAUGUAUGAGUUUGAAGUUGUCUGAGUCUGGCAUUUGACCUUCACUAUACAUUUUUCUCAAAUGAAAGUUAGCAGAAAACAUUUUCUGGCGUCAAACAAAGCUAUUUCAUUUACAAACCACAUAUGAUAAAAAUAAAUCUCUAGGAGAAAAUAGCAAAAUCUAUAUUCAGUGGAUAAACCAUUUUUCGUAUCACAAUUGUUAUUUAUUGCAUCUGUAAAUCCAUCUCAUAUUAAUAAUUUUACUUUGUGAGGUAUAGUAAAAAGAGAAUAGUAACUGUCUCCAUGGAAUUCAGCAUAUGACUGUAAAUGCUCUGCAUGGGCCUUGGACUUAUUGUGUAACAAAAAUGCUACAUUUCAAUUUUGCUGUUGCAAAGCUUGAUGGUGGAAAAGUAGAGGAAAUGUGCUUGUAAACAUCAGCAGUUUCAAAGCACUACAAAUAUGUUUGCAAUGUAUUCUACUCUAUUUACAGGAGAAAAAGCAAGAGCAAAUUAAUUGCCAACAUAUAUCUUGUUGCUAGUAAUGUACUAUUCUAUUCCAAAAGCUUAUGUUUUUCCAUCUCUUUGUAUGUAUUAGGUUAACAGGUAGAAAUGAUAAUUUAAAGAUGAAGAAUGCAGCUUUGUACUUCUACACUACAGAUCCAGAACAACCUGCAUUUUAAAUUGUCUGGAACAGCUGUAAAUAUUUUCUAAAAAAACUCAUUAAGACUGUAAGUCUACUGAGACAAGUAAAUUUUUAUUUACUUUUUUUUUAAAGCAGAGUGAAGUAAAAAGGUAAUAACAUUAGUUGUGUAAUUAUAGGCAUCUUGUUCUAAUUUGGUCAGUGAGUAGAUAGGAAAUAACAUACUAGAAAUCUUUCUGCAAACCAGUAAUAUCAUAUAUGAUGUAACUAGAUUAUUUCAUAUCUAAACUUGUCUAAGAGGGACAUAUUUAUUCACAAUAUUCAUCAGAAUUACACCAGGAAUUUUCCUUUGGGGAAUGAUUUUACCUGGUGCAGAUUCGUCUCCAGUAUAAAUCCCCUGAUUUACUUUGACUUGAUUUAUGACAGGUAGGAAUGAGGCCCACUGUGCCAAAAGACCAAAAUUUUUGUUUCUCAGGAAAAACUGCUAAGAUGAAAAGUAAAGCAAUCUUAAUUGUAGCACCCAUUAACUAUAUAUUUUUCCUAAAUGUAUUCAUUUAGUCAGUUCUUUUUAAUAAACAUCUUAUAAAUUCCUAAAAAAAUGAUAAUAUAUUGUAAAACAUAGAGGUUUUGGUAUAAUAUAGAUAUUAAUAAAUGUUAACAAAUUAAUAUCUUUCCUGAGGAUGUACUUUUUUCCUCAAAGCUACUUCAUUCACACCAAACAUACACAUAAGUCAAAGGACACAUCCACAGGAGGAGCCUAAUAAGUAGGUCAAGGUAUACAUACACAUCGAUAUGCAUCUCUCUGUAUCUUUUCCCAUUACCCAUAUGAACAUACAUGCCAUUUGGUCCAGUAUUGACUCCUGGCAGCUAAAUUCCUGAACAUUUUUCAUUCGUCAUGCACAUAUCCAGUAAACAAAGAAAUAAACAUGAAAAACUAUUAAGUUGCAUAGAUCAGCAGUUUUACUAGAGGCAUAAAAAUGAAAGCUUUACUAUUCAGUGUAUGGAAACUGUUGAGUCACAGCCUGAACCACUGAUUGAUCACCUGGAGAAAGGACUGGGUCAGCCCUGGGAGCACAGGUGAAGGCAAUUCAGUUGUGUGAUCAGGAGUGGAGCCUGGCUCUACCCCUCUUAGACUCCCAUUUAAGGGCUGACUGCCAGUAAGCAAGGAUCUCUGGUUGGAGAUCCCUCCCUUGUGGAGUUUUCUCUGUGAGCCUAGAUCUUGGGAGGUAGGUGAGCAUUCUUCUCCUGUUUGUGUUUUUUUUUUUGUCAUUUCACUCCUGUAUUGCCUUUCCACUGCACUAGUCUUCCCAACUGUAACAUCCAGUGACAAGAUGCCAAGCUCACAGGUAGAUGAUGCAAGUUUCUACCUGUGCAAAAAUGAAGCUAUACAGCUUUUCAAAUUAAAGUAGUUUAAUAUAGGAUAUGCACAGUGGUGUUGUGUUUUUUUUUUUUUUUUGCCUGUUUAUCACAUCCUUGUUUUGUCUUCUGAAGUCCUGGUUGUUGAAAGAUGCCAUAGGAAGACUCUGACUUUGUAUCUGUUUCUCAGUGGCAUUUACAUACUACCACUUCAGAAACUGGUAUGGGAAUGAUUAAGCAAAUGCUACAUUUGAAAGAGAAGCUGCAGCAUAUAUGAAGCAUACUUUCUCCAGUGUGAAGUAGAACUGCAUUUGAAUGUCCAUUAUGGACACAACUGAUUUAUAAGUAAAAUCUAUGCCUCUUCUCCCUACAGACCACUUUUGGAUAACCUGUUUCUUUACUGUUUUUGCAAGCCUUGUAUCUGAAGGAAAGGAUUUUUGGCAAUAGUUUAGAGAAUUCCUCCCCCACAUAUUCUUAUGAACUCCAUCUGGCCAGUGAAAGAAUCUAAGUUGAACAGUACAUCAAAUCCCCGAGUGAUAUACUCCCAAGUACAUUGUUUCUCAUAAUGUUUUAAAGAAUUAUGUUUGAGUAAGGAAAUUGAGGACUUAGUAGUAUAUUGAUAAUUAACACAGCAGAUGUUGUGUGACUCUUGGCUGCAAUAGCUUUUCUUCUUGAAAAGAAAAUAAGUAAAUUAGACAAGAAAUACAUUAUGGGAGGGUUAAUUUAGUUUGAUUUUCAAAAUAGCUUACCCUUAUAAAUAUUAUAUUUCAUGACUGAAAUGAAAAUAUUCUUCAGUCUUUUAAAACUUUUUUGUGUAUGUGCUUUUUUUCCAUUUAAGCUGAAAAUGAACCCGUAUUUUCUUUGAUUUAUUGGGUAACAUUGUAAGAGAGGCAAGACUGUAACCUCAGGCAAACCAUAUGUAGUGAGCAGGUUCCAGAGACGCUUUAUUGCUUUCUACCAGCGGUAGGUUAGCAUUGGCUGUCUUCCUUCUGAAUAGGUUACAACUGCUAUCAGAUACAUCUGUUCAGCAUUUUACUGCAAAGAGAAUGUAAUGCCAAAGCAAUGCUAAACUUAGAUUGCCCAUUUCCUGAGAUUACUGCUCUCAAAAAGUUCACGUAAAGUUUUCGGCUCUGUAAUUUUAAUGUCUGACAAACAAAAUUUGAAGCAGUAUUUUAAUUUCAUACAUUAUCCAUAAACUUCUGCAAAAAAAUAUAAUUAGUAUAAUCACUGUCAUCUGCCAGCACAGGAAAUAGAUUCCAGAAAUAAUUUAUGCUGUUUUAUUCUGUUUUGUUGCUGCUGUUUUGUUUGGAUGAAUAAAGACUGCAGUGCUGUGCUCUCACCUUACAUGGUGGACAAUUCUAGUCAAUUGUUUAUCCUUUUCUACUGACGAAAUAGCUUGGAUUUUAUAUCAUACAGUUGAGAUAUUUACAGUGUUUUCAAAGGAGAUUUUACUUGGAAACAAAAUAGGAAGUUUUAAUCACAUGAGCUUGUACAGCCUUAAAACACAGAAUCAUAGCAUCAUAGAUAUCAUUUAAAAAAAGACCUCUGAGCUCAUCUAGUCCAACCAUCACACCCAUCAUCACCAUGCCCACUAAACCAGAUGUGUUGAGGUGGCCAAAAUAUACAACAAAAGCAUAUAGAUUAUUAAAGCUAAUCUCACUACACUUACCCUCUUAGGAGUUAUUGUCUUCCCCUCUAUAAUGAUGACUAAGGCAAGAUGGAACUAUUCCUGGGGUGUGAUGAGUAUGGAAGUCUGUGACUUAGUGCCAGGAUAAAGGUCAGUUCUGGAACAUCUACUUACAGGGUUGCUGCUUGUCCUCCUGCAGAAUUGGUGGUAUAAAAUACAACUAUUGGUUUCUGUUGUCAUAGCUCAAAUAACAUAUGCUAAAACCUAGCACCUAGAUUUACUUUCCCACAAUUGGCUUUGUGAAGCACAGGUAAAUAGUGCUCUAAAUUAUGUGAGUACUUAUAGUUGUACAGCUUUUCUAAUCCAAAUGGACAGCUCCUUUUUAUAAUGAAUGAGUGCUUUCACAACUGGAGAAGUACCUUCUUUUUUCAGCUACCUUGGACUCAUGAGAGAGCUCAGAUCUUCAAGAGGUUUUUCAAGACAAGACCAGUAUUUCUGCUCAUGCCUCGCCAUGCUCCUGUAGCCUGUAUGAGCAUUUUAAGUCAGCAUUAGGCAGCGUUGCAUUGUACUAUAGAGGAGUACCUGGAGAGGCUGCCUCCAUGCCUGCAUCAUUUGGACACUCACACACUUGCCAGGUACAGCAAGAGCAAUGAGCACUGAUGGUGAAAGGUACAAUGUUGUCUUCCUGUGAGCUGGCUACUGCACCAGAGCACUGGUGGUUUUAGUGGAGAGUAAACAUGCUGGCAUCCAAACUAUAAGACAGAAUAAAUACAAGCAAACCUGCCUACUUGGAUGCAGGGGAAGAAUGUCCUGUGACUAUGUAACACUUAAUAAAGGAUGCUUUAAGAGGAUUUGUGGGAAUAUGUGAAGAUCAUUAUCAGAUACUUACAGGAGUGAGAAAAGGACUGUGGACUGGAGGAGCUCAUAGGACAAGUGUAUGUGUGUCCAUGUGUUCACAUACACCAGGGAUAAAUACAAGCUCAGCCUUCCCAUUGGCUGCAGCUGGGGAUGUGGAGCUGUGGCAGCUUUGCUGCCACAAUCAGGGCAGGAGGACCCCCAGGAUUCAGCUACAACUAACAAUCUGCACAAGACAUGUUGCAAAGUGCCAUUUCAAUGCCUGAAUUUUUCAGCCUCCACAGUUUAAUUAUGUCUCAGUAUUUCUGACCUAUCUGUAGCCACUGCUUCAUCACUGCAUCAAAAAUGAGAGAUAAUGAAGAAAAUAUCUGAAGAAAGAUCAAAACAACAAUUUUAUUUUUAUAUGUUCAAACCAAGUGAACUGAUGACUGAAGGAGGUAGAAAUUUACUUCCAGCAAGGUAAGGUUGAGGCAUUUUGCAAGAUACAAUGCACUAGUUUUAGCAGUGUUUCCAAUUUUAAAUUUAACAUGAAAACAAGCAGCACUGUUUAAAAAAAAAAAAAAGAAAAAAAAAAAAGAAAAAAAGAGAGAAAACUUUGAUAUUACUAUUUCCAUCAGAGAUUUAACACGGUAUUUUGACUUUUUUUUUUCUCUUGUGUAAUUUCUCUGUAUUAGUUUUCCAGGAAGGUAGGAAAUGCAUGACUUGGCAUGAAACACAAAAUUUACAUGAUAUUAUAGUUAUUUCUUAAUACUUAAUAAAAAAAAUUCCAUUUCACUGUGCACAUGGGAAGCUGAGUUAUUGCCUUCUCAAGGUAUAAAUUUCUUAUUUUCUUUGUUACACAAACUCUUCAGAGAACGUCCUGAAGAUACCUUUUCAGAAAUAAUAUAGUUUUUGUUUUAGAUAUGUUUUAAGUUUUAUAUGAUGCAUUUAGCAUGAAGUUCUAAUAAUAGCAGUCAGUCAACUAAGAAAAUAACAGCCAGGUAAGUUACUAAGGUGACAAAAGCAUCCAAUUAGUCUCUUUACUGAACAAAAAAUGUUUAAGAUCAAUAUGCAUUAUUCUAGUUUGAUAAAAUACUUGAAAAUAACAUUUUCUUUAAAUCAAUAUCUUUUGUAGUUCAAAAAUAUUUUGCUAGAAGACUAAAAACCCUAAAUCUGACUUAGUUCAGUUUUAGUUGAGCACUUUAGUCCUCACUUUAGUUGAGGACUUAGUUCAGCAGUCCUAUUUCAUCUGGUCCAUGUGAAGCAAAGGUAUAGAACACAUUUCCGAGAUUUUAAAUGAAUUAUCAUGCUUUGACUGACACCUGGACAAACUCUGAGAGUUAUGUUUAUUUGUUUAUCACUUUGACUGCAUCUCAUCUCUUAUUCCAGUACCAAUUCAGUGAAAACUGUGGCCAUAUUUUUUUAUCAGAUAAAUUUCUUUAUAAGUACUAGACAUUGAAUGAUGAAACUAAUUGGAGAUUUUACCACUGUCACUGAAAUGCUCAAGUUUAGACUAUUAGUAUGGGAGCUGAACAAGCACCCAGGAAGAGUUUUUUGUUCUCUUGUGAGCAAAUAUGCACAAACUCUCCAACAUUAUAAUUACUGAUCCAGUAACAAAGUCAUACAAGGCAACUGACACUCUCUGCUUCUUUUUAUCUCGGUAUGACUCAAAGCUUGUAUUGAGGGAAGCACGUUAAGAACAUGCUUAAGUCAUAAAGAAAUUAGUUUCAUUUAAGCAUAUGCUUUCAAGGUUUUUCUGAAAGCUUGGCUUCUGCAUGUCAUGAGUUCAGUUGAGUCAGGACUUGCAAGAACUUCAAAGACAUUUUUGAAGUAUACAACACUGUUGUAUGCAAAUCAGUGUCACUCAACUAUGUCCUAGUCUACAGUGACUCAUACUCAAAGUUGGGAUGAAAAACAGGCCAUACACUAUCCUGAGUUAACAUAGUUAACAAAAGUGAAAGGACAGCGACACUGUCCUGCAGUCACACAUGAAAAAGGAGCAGCAGGACAAAGAAACUAAGCUGAAUCCUAACCAUGGGAGUCCAGAAAUAGUAUUUCUAGCUCAGUUUGUCUAGGCAGAAAGGUUUUAUUCAUUUUUAUUUAUUUUUAAAGCAUUUUAGGGACUAAAUUUUAAAAGAAACUAAUCCAAACGGUCUCUGGAUGCAACACAAAAAGGUACUGGUGUGCAAGGAGUUACGUUAGUGUAACUCCUGGGUUAAUGUGCAUUGACUGACACUGAGAAACGUGUAGGUGAUCUAUACUGGUUGGAAAAUCUGGUAUCAUUCUAUAUAUAUAUAUAUAUUAUUUUUUUUAAUGGGAAAUUUGGAAGAGUUUAAGUCUUCUGUGGAAUGAAUUGCAAUACUUCCCACUGUAGCAGAGGAUUAUUUGGCAGCUGUUUUGCUAGGAAAAAUGCAGACAAGUUACAGAUUUAUAUUGGGGGAAAAAAAAAAAAACACACACACUGAGAAGUCCAGAACAAAAGCAAGCAUUAAUUUUUAGGUUUAAAAGCCAGAACUGUUGAGAGUUCAUCAUGUGUGUUGAUACUAGAGGAAGGAAAUAAUAAAUUCUAUCUACAAUCAAGCAUCAACAUAGUAUAUGGUAGGUCAGUCUGAUUUAUUGUAGAUCUUUGAUUUUCUUUUCUUCAUAAACAAUGAGCUUAAUAUUAAGCAGAACACUACAUGAGUGAGACACAUCAAGCUGUGUGAGACAAGACUAAUCUCAGCCACUGGACAAGCUGUUAACAGACAUUCAAAUCUCAAUGCAGUUACGUUUACUUUCCCCUGCUAAGUAGAAAGGUGUUUGUUAUUCUCUUCAGCUGGUGUCACUAGAAUGAUGCUAAUGAUAGUUGAUCUCCUCCUCACUCUUGCGUAACUCAAGUCCUCUAUUAAAAUCAGAGCUGUCAAAAAGAAAAUGAUAGAAUAAAGCCAAAUGUAAUGUUAAUCUCCACUUCUGGCAUCAUUCACCUAAAUGUGCAAAAAUAUUCUUUCCUUUAUCAGAUGCAAUUGCUUUCAUGAAGCGUGCUUUUCACACUUACAUACAUGCGUCCUUAAUCACUGACUUUUACUUGGUGAGGAAAAGAGAAAAAAAAAAAAGCUUAUUGCUGUGCAAAAAAAUGUAUUAAGUGUGUUUCUCGUUUGGUUUUUCCUCCAUCUUUAUUGAUGCUCUAGCUUUGUGGCCUUACAGAACAUUUGACUUGACUUGACUUUGACUGGUAAUUUAAACAAAUCUGAAACUUCUCUUGAACUCAAGGGCCACUGAGUAUUUGUUGAAUCUUGUCCUUCUGUUGGUUCCAGCUCAGUUUCCUUGCUGUUAGCCCUCUCUCUAAAAAAAUUAAGUUCCUCAUUCAUCUUAUUGCCACGUUGGCAUGAAUCUAUCUGCAUCACAAUCCCUCUUGGACAUGUCAACCAGUUCUACAUCAUCAAAAGAUAAAUUCAUCAAAAUUUUUUUGUUUGGCAUAAAACCAGAUUUUUUCCAUUCAAUCUAGUGAUAUAUGGAAUGAUUUCAAUAAUGUAGUUGAAUCUGAUUUCCUUCAUUCAGCCAAAGAAAUGCCAAAGUAGCAGUUUGCUAACAUAUGGAAAGUCAUUACAUCUAGCUGGAAAAAAAAAAAAAACUGGAUUUUUUUUUUUAAACCUUUUAUUUAAUAUAUAUUUUUAAUAUAUAUAGCUACACUCUCUCUUGAAUGAGCACAUUUUAAUUUCAGACAGUGUCUAUACAAUUAGUUCAUAAUGUGUUUGGUUUCAUUAAAGCUAAUACAAUCACUGCAGAAUAAGGCAAAGAUGGUAUGAAUAGAGAACCAAUUUUCUAUGUGUCAAAGAGAACACAUUUUCUAUGUCUCAGUGUAAAAAAGUCUUGAAUUUUUAGGACAACACAUACCUUUUCAAUCUUCUUUGCUAUGUGCUACCCCAGGUCUAGGACACCAUAGAGUUUGAUCACACAAGUGAAUGAUGGAGGACUGGGCUUCACAAUCAGAAACAUUCUCUGCUCCAAAUUGUACUGUCUAUCACUACAAACUGUUGCCUCUACAUCUACCUCAAAUCAUUGUGUUGAUAUACAAAUAAAUAUAUAAAAUAUGCCAAAUUUCUCAUUCCAAAUCAGGUUUAGUGAUUUACAGUAACACAGUAAAUUUCAAAAUAUGGGCUUCUUCCAAGAAUUUCAGUAGGAUUUGAUAUCAUUUAUUUUAAAUAUCUACAUAUUGUUAUCAAAGAUAUGAUGCAAGACUGCAACAGAAACAUAAAAAUCCCAGAAAGAGGCUAGUGAAACAAUUUAUCCAGAAACUUAGUCUGUUCCUAAAACCUAAGCUAUGGUGCUGAGCUGUAUAAGUGUUUCAGCCUUCUCAAAGCCAACUUAUUAUGCUAUUAGCAUAUAAUAUCUCUACUAUAUUAGUCCAUAGUGUGCACGACAGAUAUAUUGUUAGACCACUUAAAUAAUCAGCAGUCCUCUUGUCUGCAAAAUCCAUCAGGAUAUAUCUCCUAGUCAUAGGACUUGCACUCAAAUGUGAAUACAGAGAGAUCUGACAGAUCAUUAGCACAGCAACACUGAUAUAUUAUGACCUUAAAUAUAAAAAUUAUUAUUCAUGAAAAAAUACUAAAAAUUGUUGUUAAAGCUGUACAGUUAUUUAGAUAUUUAUCUAGAUACAUUUCUCCCCUUCAUGUAAAGCAUACUUCUUAGGCCCUCCAUGCAGUUAAUAUUACUAUUACUCACAGCUGUAACAUUCUCCCUUCCCCCUCAAAAAAAAUCAUUUCAUGUAAUCCUCAUGCACUGUAUUUCAGCUCUAUUUUAGUUUUAAUGCUUAUUACAUAUUCAACACAUGAACAAACUAUAGAGCUACAAAAUAAAAUUUAUUUGCAAAGUUAAGAGUGUAGAAGUAUGUAUUUAUAUUAUAGCAUCUGGAUUUUUUUUUUCCUUGUUUAACCUGCUGAAAUGAAUAAUAUUUUGGAAUACAGAGAAUAAAAGUUAUUAAUUCACCAUGAUGAUUGAUUACAGUUUAAAAAAGUAAAUAAGUAGACAUUUGCAUCUAAGCCAGUAAAUUUUCAUGACAAUUUUACAAGGCUUUAUUAUGCAGUAGUAUUAAAACAAUUUGCAGUAAAUCAAUGUCUUGCUUUUCUCAUUGGAUUAAAGUUAGAUGAAGCUAAAUAUUUCCAUGAUUUGCACUUACUAAAAUGCUAGAUCACACGGUUUUUCUAAUUUUUUAAUAUAUAUUCUACCACAUAUACCCAUUAUUUAUCCACAUUAUUUAUUGCCAAAAGAAUUUGCCCUUACCCUUAAACUAUGAUUUAAAAAAUAAAAAUAAGAAAACCAACCAAGAAUCAGAUGCUGAUAAUAAGUCACAAAGAGAAAUGAAAAUGAAAAUCUUAAUGUUGGUUUGACAGCUCUACUCAUGUAAACUUGGUCUAAGUUGUUUCCUUAGUGCUAAUUUUUAAUAUUUCUAACUGUGGAUCUCUCAAAUAUCCAUCUCUCUUAUCUCUCAUAAUACAGUACCACUUUUUUUAAUGUAAUGUUUUUUUAGUUUCUUUUAGCAAUGGAAGAAAAUUGCUUUUGUUCCACUUCAUAUUUCCUCUUUUGAGAGAGCUGGGACUCUUCAGCUUGAAGAAGAGAAGGCUCUGGGGGGACCAUAUAGCUGCCUUCCAGUACCUGAAGGGAGCCUGUAGGAAAGGUGGGGAGGGACUUUUUAUAAGGGCAUGUAGCAACAGGACAAGGAGAAAAAGGUUUGAAUUGGACAAGAGUAGAUUUAGACUAGAUAUUAGGAGGAAGUUCUUUACUGUAGGGGUGGUGAGACACUGGAACAGGAUACCUAGAGAGGUUGCGAAUGCCCCCUCCCUGGAAGCGCUCUAAGCCAGGCUGGAAGGGGCUUUGAACGACCUGGUCUAGAGGGACCUAGGCUGUUCCUCUCCUAUAGCAGGGGAGCUGCAACUAGAUGAUCUUAGAGGUCUUUUCAAACUCAAUCCAUUCUAUGACAAUGAUUCUAUGAUGAAAAACUCUUUCACAGUGAGAUUUUAAAUGGCCAAAAUACUUAUCUCUAUAAUUAAAUGGUCAAAGUUCAAGAUAAGAAAGUUCAUGAGAUGUACCAAUAUAUAAAUAUUAUAUAUAUUUAUAUAAAAUAAUAUAAUAUAAAUAUAUAUAAAUAUAUAUAUUUAUAUAAUAUAAUAUAAUAUAAUAGAGAAUAUAAAAAUAAUUAUUAUUAUAAUUACAAUUAUAAUAAUUAUACAAAGACGUGGAGUAUCCAUGUAUUACAAAAAUGUAUUCUUUGAAUUACAUUUGGAGUCUGGGAUUCCAGCCAAAAAUAAAAAGCUUUUAGGUUAUGUUGUUUCAAGUUCAAAAGAUUGUAAGUUUUGUUUUGUUUUAGUUGGUGUGAGUUUUUGUUGUUGCUUUUUCUAAUCUACCCACAAAGAAUCAAAAGGCAUAUGGUAUGUUUACUCUUUUUCUUUCAGCCUUCAGAAAAGUAUUAGCGGGAAGAUAAUGAGGACUUUCUGAAAAAAAUAUGUAAUACGAUAAGUACAUAAGAGAUAUCCAGCGAUUUUGUAAUGUUGAUCUUGUUGAAUGAUUUUGUAUCUUAUAUAGAUAAAUAGGCAGAUUAAGCACAUAGUAUUUCUGUGGUAAGUUAUAUUCCUAUCCAGGCAGACAUAAUUUGGAGUGCUGUUGCAGCUCAGUAAAAAGGAGAUAAUUAAUUUUAUUUUACACAACUUUGUUCCAUCUAGACUGUAUAAACAUAGCAGCAAGGUCAAGAGAAGCCUUGAACUUGAAACACUAAAAAUCAUACACUAUUAAUGCAGUAGUACAGCAUGCUUCUCAAAACAAUUGUAUCAAGACUAGAAAGAGAAAAUCAAAUAAUUUUUUAUACCAGUAUACAUGCUACUGCAGUGUUAAACCUCAUCUUUUAAUGGAUUCUGUCAUUUUAGUCAAACAGAUGAAGGUGAAUUUGUCUGGCAAAGAAUAUGCUGGUUACUUAUGUGCUUGAUGACAAGACUCAGGUGUGAAGCUGGACUUUGAAGAAAGGAGAAUCUGCUAUGUCCAGUUUUCCAUUGCUUCUCAUUCUAAGUAAUCAGCUAGAUUGUGCAGAACUGGAAUAUACACUUUCUGUAUCAGGACUGAAACAUUUUAUAUGGACUGUGAAGGAACAAAUGGUACAAGAUGAUCCUUACGGUCUUGGCAGUUUGUGCAAAUUUUACACAUAUAUUAAAGUAGCAUGAAGCACAACUUUUCUUGUUUGAAAAGCUUUAAGCUCACAGUUUCACAGCACAUAGCAGUUGACUGGGAGAUGCUGACUCUUUCACAGAUUGCUCUGUUUCUCUCUCUUUUUCAGCUGAAGUCCCCCAGGAGCAGGAUGAUGGUAUCUUCUAAACUUGGAAUGUGCAUCAAGCACUAAUGAGCCAUAAUAAUACAUAUUUUGCAUAUUUUCCUUGGAUUUAUUUCUUAUGCAUGCCUGUAUACUUUAAAAUAAGAUGCUGAUAUGAAAAAUGAAUCCACAUUGAAGAAAAAGAAACAUUUUACAUCCCAGAUUCAUGAAUCCUUCUGAGGCAUGAUGUUUUAAAGCUGGGCUGGUGGACCUGAAGUCAUGAUGAUCAGCAAAGUACAGGAACUGAGAGUCUGUGUUGAAGAAAGCCAUUGGAUCAAGACUUUCAGAGAUUGAACUGUCUUCGUAUUUAAAAAAGUGUCCACCUUAAAGCCAAGAUUAAGGUCUCGGGCAGGGCCGGAUUCAAAGGAUUCAGUGGAUACAUAUCAUUCUGGGCUGGUUGUGUGUUACAGAUAAAAGUUUAUUUGCCAUGAAGACAGUAGAUUUUUCUGGGCAGAACACACAGCCAGAAAAGAUGAGCAGAUAUUGAAUUUCCUUAUUGGUUUUGUUAGUUAAAAAAGAAAAUUGGAUUGGUUACACCCAUAUGGUAUUUUGCAUAAUGUAUUUAUAAUGUAAUUAUAUUUAUUAAUGAUAUAUGAAUAUUGCUAUUAAGGUUCAUAUUUACAGAUUAAAAAAAAAUCUUCAUUAAGUUAUCUUUCAAAGAAAAUCCCCAUGAAUAAUCUCAAAGUCAAAAAUGUGCUCAUGGAAACAAGUGAGAUAUUAUUUCACCCUUGUAUUUCUUCUCAUCCAUAUAUACACCUUUUUAAACAACAUGUGUCAUGUCUGCACUCAGCAGUGACGCGGAAACCAGAGGCUAAAAGCUCUGGAAUAAGAAACAGCCUGUGUUAGCAAAUAGCCCUGAAACUAGUACAAAGGGAGAGUGCUCCCAAAUGCAAACUUCUGCAUCAGAAUUGUGUGCUGCACCAUUAAUGGCCCUGAUCAGCAUUAACUGUGGCUCUGCUCUAAGGUGUAAACCUCAAAUGGCAAGGCAAACAAUGCCCUGAAGACUUCAUAACACUGAGAGGUCAACUGGUCAGCACAGCAAUAAAGGACACAUAGUAAGUUACAAAUACAGAGCAGUGAAACGUGACUGUGUUUCUUUUCGUCAGUCCUUUCCUUUACCAGAGGCAUCUAAAGGUAAUGCAAAAGCAAUUGAAAACAAAAUAAUCAAGAGAUCACUCUGGCAAUCUUGAGGUAAGAUCACUGUUUCCAAUUAUUUUCCUCACAGUAAAACUGGGACAAGGAGAGAGGGUUUGCAUAGGCUUUAUUUACCAGACCUGCUGUUCAAUACAGUCCUGGUGGAAGGAAUUAUUGCUAGCAGAGCAUAUCACAGCCACCCAGCUAAGUACACCUAUGCUGCAAGUUCAGUACAUACCAAAUCAAGGACUGAAGAAGAGCCAAGCUACCUUUUCUGAUGAGCUGUAUUUUAUGCUCCUCAACUGCAAUCUACUAGCUCCACAGUCCAAAUUCCAGUAUGUACCAACAUUAUCUGCCAAGUGCUAGAAAAGUUUAGAACAGCUGAGGAAAAGCUCAAACAGUGAACAGCACUAGGUAUUAGUUACACAAGCCUGAUAUUCCUUCAUUGCUGAGCACCAAAAGAUCCCAGUUGUUGGCAGCCAGAGUUUUUUAUUUCUUUUCAUAGAAAAUGGUUGACAGUAAUUCUACCUACAGCUAAGCUGCUUCAGGAAUAAGUACCAAAAGGAGAUGAAUGGCACACAGACUUCGAGCUGGAAGCUGAGGUGAGCUAUAUAGAACAGAAAGAAGAUAUUGAAGGUCAUGCUCUAUGGUUAUCAGUACACUUUCUGAAUAGCAACACAGAAAUAGAAAAAAUCAUUUGAAAUCAAGAUUUCUUUAAAACAGGAAAGAGGAACAGUGAGGCACUUUUAUAUCUUGGUAUCACUCUAAUAAAUUCUACUGCAACAUACAAAAAGAAACAUUAAGAUGCAAUUCUACUUUGAAUGUAUGCAUAUAAUUGGCUCAAAUAUUAUCCAUAGUAAAACCAAGAGGAAACACUGACAUUAGUAUGACCAAUAUUUCAUACAGCAUGUGCUAAAUAGGUAACAUACUCACUUGACCAAAUAUGUAUGUGAAUAUUGUAACAUCACAGUGAAUUCUUGCAUAUUAAUCUUAUAUUGUUGAAUCCUUGCAUAUUAAUCUUAUAUUGUUAUCCUUCUAGGUUUUUUGUUUGUUUGUUUGUUUGUUUUUGUGGGUUUUCCUUUUGUGUUUUUGUUAGUUUUCUGUUCUUUUUUUAUUAUUAUUAUUCUUAAGAUCAUGCCAUUUCUCAUUACCAGAAAUUUGAAUACUCUUAUGAUUUUGAUUAAAAUCUUCUUAGAAGAAAUAAAUAGGAUGCAGUAGGCUGAAGAACUAUAGAAACUAGUGUUCAUUAUUUUUCUUGCUUUGUAUUCUGAUAAGGUGAUUGAAUGACCCCAAAGCUGAAAUGCCAUAAUUGGUUGACAAAAAGAGGCAAUAAUUAAGGAGUAUCUACCUCCCAUUUACCCAGGAAGGGGACAAAGAAUAUAUUCUUUUCUCAUAUGCAACAUGUCAAUGUCAUAUAUUUCAAAUAUCAGUUGUAUCUCUUUCAUUAGUAUUUAUACCUUUUUACAGCACUGAAUUCACUAGAAACCUAGAUCCUUUUAUUACCGUACUGCAGCUCUUAAAGUCUUACUUUUAUAUAUGCUCAGGUCCUUCAACAUUAUUAUAUUUCUGUUGCCGUAUUCCUUCCAUCCAGUAGACACAGGUGCAGUGUUUUUAAUCAGUGUUUACCAUUGCAGCACCCGUAAAAAAACCACUAAUUGUGCAUAUAAAAAUAUCUGAUUAAGAAUUACAGAAAACUUGUCUUUUACAAAACGUAAUUUUGUGAGUGAGUGAUUAAAGUGAAGAUAUUAUUAGCUGUGUGAGAAAAUAUUUAUCUUUCUAUUUCAUGUGAGUAUUCUCAUCCUAUUGUAAUUUCCAAAUGAUAUGGCAUAGGACUUCCAUUGCUGCCAUUAAUGAUUUACCUGUUUUAAACUGAAAAACUAUGACUGCUUCAUUUGUUAGAUUACAUAGGUGCAACAUCUGUGGCCAGUCUGUCUGCAUAAAUGAAAUAUAUUUUCUGAUAUUAUGUCAUAUUUUGCCUUCAUAACUGAAGCUGAAUGAAAGACAGAAAACGGCCCCAAUGCCUCCAAGCUUUGGAGCAUACAAACAGAUUGAGAAGGGUAUCAUCUGCACGUGUUACUGCAGCAGCCUUCUCUUUGUUUUCAAACUCAACUCGGAUUCAUUCCAAAAUAUCCAAGUCCAAACCUAAUUUCUGGCACGACCUGCAGGAUCAAAUAUGUCUCCUUGGCAUUCACUUGCUAUGAGAAAGCCUCAAAAGGACAAUGAAUGACAGCCAAACUGAUUAUCAGUUUCAGUGAGUGAAGGUCAGCAAGUGUAACAUCUGCCUUGCUGGUGCUUGCCUACAUAUUCAUGUGCAACUUUCUGCUCAUCCAGAGGUCACAAAAACUCACAGAAUGAACAAGAUCCCAGAGGAUACCUCUGUUUCCUUAGACACAGUGACAGAUUUUUCUCUUACAUUUGGGUAAGGGAAUUUUUGGUAAAUAUGACUGACAGAAGUAGCUGCAUGGGUCAAAAUCACCCCUUGGAUAUUUUUAAAAUUUGAUUAUACAAAGAUCAGGAAGAGAAGAAUGGCCAACAAGGCACAGGAAUAUUUAUUCUAUCCUUUACAGUAUAUGCUGACUCAUUAAGCUAAGGAAAAAGUGCUGAUAUUUUCACAGAACCUUUCCCAUUGAACAAAAACAAACAAAUGAAAAAAAAAUGCUGUCUCAUCAUGUAAUGUAAAUUAAUAUAACUCUGAUUAACUUUGAGUAUCUGUCCAUCAGUCUAUAUAAAAUCACAUCUUCAGAAUGUCAGCCAUGCAGUUGAGUGAGUAAUGUCCAAAAUAAAUCUGAAAUGCUAUUGAAAGUGCACUGUUUCUUCUCCCACGAUAUAGGGGAGUGAUCUUGUCAUACCAUGAACAACUUUAAAAAAUGCUCAUGAAGUGCAAAUUAUUUUUUUAAUCAAAUAUUACACUAUUUGGAUGAGUCCAGUGCUAAAUUUUAAAUCCUGAAAGGAUAACUAAGGGUUCAGAGAUAACAACCUCUACAGAGGUCAGAUUCAUUGCUCUGGAAAUCUGGAACCUUGGGAGUUGUAGGAAUAAAAUCAUAGAAAGAAGGAAAGAAGGAAGGAAGGAAGGAAGGAAGGAAGGAAGGAAGGAAGGAAGGAAGGAAGGAAGGAAGGAAGGAAGGAAGGAAGGAAGGAAGGAAGGAAGGAAGGAAGGAAGGAAGGAAGGAAGGAACAACAGAAUUAGAUAUUUUUGCACCUGACACCCAUUAGAUUUAUGUUUUGAUCAUUUUAGUUUCAAAAAAUAUUUUUUUGUUUGUUUGUUUGGAACAACAUUCUGGAAGUUAUCUAAAGAAUACUCCCUUUCAUAAACCAAAUAGAAAUAACUCAGUGCAUCUGCCUCCAAGUAACCUCAAGUAAAUCAGUUGUCAUGAUACAGGAAACCAGAUGUGAAUUCCAACAUCGUAGCAGUGGAGCUGAAGUGGCUGAGGUGGAACUGCUCUCUAAUGGGUACAUUUUCCAUCAUACAGUUGCAAAACCGUUGCAUACUUGCACAGACUCCUCAGCACCCUAACAGUGACAAAUAUCACCAAGAAAGGUGACCAUUGCAAAGAGCAAAAAAGACUACGGGUUUCUCACUACAUGUAUUCUAACAGUCUUCAUCUUCCUAGAUCUAUUGUUCUCAUUUUUGUUUUUGUUUUCCCAUGUUUUCUCAGUAUUUAUACUAAACAACAAAACUAAGAAAAAAUGUUGAUCAUCAACACAGGAUAUAAAUGUUUAAGACUCUUGAUGUUUAUUCUACAAGCACUGAGACUAAGUCACACUUGUUAACUAAAAUUGAAUGUUUAACAGCUAGAAAAACUUCAUAUUUCAAUUUGACAUUUUAAGUGAAACACAGAAGUACAUGUAAGUGCAAUUAGAGUGUUAUAAAAAAAAAAAAAAAACACCUGUGAAAGGCAGAAACAAAAGAAGGCAUUAGUGUGUAAAGUAAUUCUAGUAGGUAGGUUGGAAAAAUUAGUUUCAUAGCAAUGACUUAAUUCAACAUGUGCCUGAGGCAACAGCAAAAAAGGUUAAAUUUCCUUUCUCAAUCAAAUUUUAUAUUCUUGCAGAAGAUGUUAUUUCAUAUUCUUGUGUUAUAUUAAUUAAACACAACAGAACCAGGAGAUAUCAAGACCCGCUAUUAGUACAAGCUGGGGAAUGUAUGGAUGGAGUACAGCCCCUCCGAAAAAGACUUGGGAGUACUGGUGAAAGGGAAACCAGACAUAAGCUAGCAACUUGCUCUUGAAGCCCGGUAUGCCAACUGUAUGCUGGGCUGCAUCAAAAGAAAUGUGGCCAGCAGGUCAAGGGAGGUCAUCCUGCCCCUCUGCUCUACACUGGUGAGACCUCACCUGGAGCUCUGAAUCUAGAUGUGGAGUCCUCAGUACAAGAGAGACACAGAUCUGUUGGAGCAGGUCCAGAGAAGGAUCACAAAAAUAAUCCAAGGGAUGGAACACCCCCACUAUGAGGAUAGGCUGAGAGAGCUGGGACCGUUCAGCCUGGAGAAGAGAAGGCUCCAGGGAGACCUGAUAGCAGCCUUUCAGUACCUAAACGAGAAUUAUAAGAAAGGAGACAGACUAUUUAGCAAGGACUGUUGUGGUAGGACAAGGGGAAAUAGUUUCAAAGUAAAAGAGGGAAGAUUUAAUUUGGACAUAAGGAAGAAAUUUUUUACAAUAAGGUUGGUGAGGCACUGGCACAGGUUGCCUAGAGAGGCAGUGGAUGCCCUUUUCCUGGAGACAUCCAAGGUUGGGCUGGACAGGGCUCUGAGUAAUCUGAUCAAGUUGUAGGUGUCCCUGUUCAUUGCAGGGGAGUUGGACUGGGUGGCCUUUUAUUGUCCCUUCCAGCUCAAAUGGUUCCGUGAUUCUAUGAUUCUACGAGACACCAGCACAAGGUUAUAUCUCCAUCUGCUGUAGACAGACCACGAAACUCAUUGCAAGAGAUAUUCAUUCCAUAAAAUCAGAGUAUGCAAAACAGAAUUUCUUUUCUUUCUUACCUCAGAUAAUUUCACUCAUAUACUGUACAUCUUCCAAAUGCUCUGAUUUAAACUAUGAACUUAAUACAUUAAACACAGGUGUAGCUCUCCAUUCACAAUGUCCUUGCCACCAUCUGUGUUUUAAGAAAAUUUUAAUUCCAGGCGAAAACAUUUUUGUUCUUCAUUCACAGUAAAUUACUGUAUGAAUAGCAUGAGGGGUGUAUUCCUUUAACCCUUAUCCUUCAAAUAAAUUGAGUAGUUUUUAUUAAUUAUUAAAUACUAUUUGUUAUUAAUGAACAUUCUCUUGUCAUUGUCCUGGACUACACAGUGUUUAUUAGAGGAAAAAAAACCAAACAAAAAAGAAGAACAAAAAAACCAAAACCAAAAACAAACCAACAACCGUCCCCCUCCCCCCCCCCCCCCCCAAAAAAAAAAAAACCUACCAUGAUUAACAUGGAUUUAUUUAUUAGGAUAAAUGGAUUUGUUUAUUAGGAUAAAUUCUAAUUAGACCUUAGAUGGCGUGUUCCACUGUUGUAACUGCAUAUAUAAACACAGCAUAAGAGAAAGACAUGUAACAUAAAUAAACUGAAGAAAACAAUUGCCAAGGAAAUUACCAAGUCUCAUUUGAGCACGCUUUUUGUUCUUAUCUAGCCAGAGCCUUGUUCACAUGCUUAACCUGAAACAUUUCAGAGGAACUAGAGAGGUAAAUGGAAAUACACACUUACAUGCUAACAACUCAUGACAGAUGUAGGAUAUGAUGCGAGACUGUGUCUUUGUAUCAGAGGAAUGUAUGUUGUGUCCUCUUCAGAUCUGACUGAAAACUAAUUGAUUUAGUUCUCAGGUUCAUUUCACUGAAUAACAUUUUCAGAAAUAUUGUCUAAUUUUGAUCUUAAGUUAACGUGAUGUGAUGAAACACUUCUACUUUGAGCUAAAUAAUGUAUAAGAAAAAGUGACUCUAUGCUAAGUUUCCUAUUAAAUCUAGAAGUCUCUAGUUGAGUCAUUUAUGUGCAGUUCGUGAGGUCAAACAAUUUACUUUCUUAUGGUUAAUUAUAACUUUUGAGGGAAACUAAAAGGCCUUCAUAUUGUGUUUCUGCAAAUAAUUACCAUUAAUGUGAUUAAAUUCAUGUUUAAUACUUAUCUAAAUUAGCUCAUUAGCUUGUAUGGAUGUUUGAAAACCUCCAAAGACUGAAAAAUAUUCAGCUUUCAUUACAUUCUUGAUACUGAUCUCUCAGACUGUGGAUAUCAUAUUCAUUACUCUCUGUAUACAUAGUACUAUAUGGAAUAUCACUUGUUUCAUAGCAAUUAUUAUGCAAAUCCCAAGAUCUACUUGCUUGACACUCCCCAGUGACAAUGAAAUCUUGUUUGGCUUAAAUAAUCAUUUGGGAGCCAUUUACACUGUGACUGACUAUUACAGGUUGUAUAUAGUGGGAACUGUAUUUUCUUACAUUAGAAAGUAAUAUGAAAAAGAAAACAUCAACAGAACAAUAUUUCUGUUUCCCUGCGACUAAAAUACUGGUGCCUAGGUCCUUUUUUUCCUGGAGUUUAAGUUACUAGAUUAAAAGAAAAAAAGAAAAAGCAAUGCCAGAUUGGUCUGUAUUACUCUUGUUAAUGCUACCUAUAUUUCUUGUACUGGGAAGCUUUUCAUGGACUGAUUUCAAUUAUGCUACUCAAAGAGGUAAGCACUUCUCAUAAGAAGUACAUAGCUUUGUUCUUGUUAUCAUUCCUCUUCGCUAAAGAAAGUAGAAGAAAACAGUAAAUGAGAAAUCUUUCAAAGUAAUUUAAUUGAUAAAGCAACUUAUGUCUUACAGAAAACAGUAAAUGCAUAUUUAUACAUUGUUAUAUCAUUUAACUUUUUACAAAGAUGCAUAAAUAUAUACCUAUAUAACAUUACAAUGAUUGAAGAGAUGGAAAACAUUUUCUCUCAAUGCAACAACAUAGCUUUUUUAUUAACUAGAACUCUGAAUAAAAUCUGAUUUUUAUAAUCAGUAGGACCAAAAUCUCAGUUGUCUAUGAGAUUCAUCAUUAAUCCUGAUUUCUUUGGAGCAGUUAGAAUUUUAUUUUAUGUUCAGCUUUUGUAACUCCAUUUCCUGGAAUACUGAGUACUAUUAAAAAAAAAAAAAAAAAAAGUAAAACCUUAAAAUUAUAAGACUUCCUGGCAUUCAUUGAAACCACAAAUUGAGAUUCAAUUAAGUAAAUUCCUGCUGACAAAGCAUCACAACAGGUUAAUAGAGGAAAGCUUUUUGCUCUUACUUCUCCAUAGUCUCAAGAACAUUAACUCCAUUAAUUGUGCUAGAUUAAAACAUACCUGUAAAAAAUAUUCACCAUUCAGAACUGCUGACAUGUUAGUUUAUUAGAUAAGCCUGCAAACUUUUAGCUACAUAUUGUAUGCUCAUUCUCCUCACUAUUUCUAAGAAACAUUUAUUUCAUAAACAAAUUUACUAACUAGUAGACACAUUCUUAUAGUGAAAAGAAUAGUUAAAUCACUUCCUCUCUGCUACCAUUUGCUUCCAAAUUCCAAAAUAUUUUCUUCAGCAUAGAUAUUGUAGGUUGUAUUUUUAUUUAGUAGUGAAUCAUUUCCGACCUUAAAUAAUUAAAAAAGAAAAACAACAACAAAAAAAAAAACACAUGCACACAAAACAAGCAAACAAAAAAACCCAACCCACAACCAUAGUUAAACAAAACAGAUUCUGUGAUCUGACACUCAUUAUCCUUCCAACCAUUGUAAUUCAAACAUCGUCCAUAUAAACAUAAAAAAAAAUCAACCAGUAUAUUAAUCAUCCAUCUGAAGCAAGCAAUUUGUCUUCCAUAUCUGUAAAUCUCAAAGCCAGGAUUUCUCCCCACUUUUGAUAAACCUCUUUCUGAAGUGGUCAGUAAAACCAAAGGUGUGUCGCCAGCACUUGACCUAAUUGAGUGGCUCCCCUCUGGCAAUCAGGAACACUCUCUUCUGCUGCUUUGAAAUGCCUCAAUUUAGAUGCAGGGGUUACUUCACGUGUUAGUGGAAUUCAUAGAACCAUAGAAUCACUCUCCACACAAUCCACAGGUUGGAAAAGACAUUAAAGACAAAUCCAACUAUGACCACCCCAUUCUACUCUAACAAACCUCUGCAAAAUCAUGUCUCUGAGCACCACAUCCAAAGAGUUUUUAAACACAUACAGGGAUGGUGACUCUACCACUUCCCUGGGGAGCCUAUUCCAAUGCUUAACAAGCCUUUCUGUAAAGUUUUUCCUAAUAUCCAGCCUAAACUUAUCCUAGUGCAACUUAAGGCCAUUUCCCCUCAUCCUGUCACCUGUCAACAGUGAGAAGUGGCCAACCCCGCUCUCGCUGUAAACACCUUUCAGAUAUUGGAAGAGAGGAAUUAAGUCUCCCCUCAGCCUCCUCUUCCCCAGACUAAACAGCCCCAGUUCCUUCACUCGCUCCUCAUAGGGCACACAAGAAGAUUUUAAAAAAAAAAAUCAAUUUAGUUGAUUUUUUAUUCACACCAAUAAUUUCUUUUUCCCUCCUUUCAAUAUAUAUUUUUAUAAAAUGUAAAGGCUAGAAUCUUCUGGUACUUCCCUGAAAAGGAAAAUUUCUAAUCUCAGAAGAAUGUUCCCAAGUAUUAUACCAUUCAUGGGACCCAAGUCUUUCCCUGAGAAUGGAGUCUAUCUGUAUUUUAUUUCGAGGUUUAAUUUUCAUUGUAGGCAGCUAGGCUAUGAUUUUUGCUUCCCCUCUUUUUGCUAUCUGUACAAUCAUGUGUAAAUUAGAAAUACUGCCGAUAUGUUAUUCUUCAAAUAAAUUAUUCCAAGCCAUUCCAUUUGUAUGGUUAUGUAGCCAGGAAAAUGCAUAAAUAAAAGUAAUGUAUUCCAUAAAGUCUAUAAAAUAUAUUGCUCUGACUCAGGGCUGCAGUUAUUUUUGGAUGCAAACAGAAAGACCUGUGUUUCACCCACACAUUGGUCAGGUUUCAUAAUGGCAAGCAAAAGCAUUAUAACACCACAACCCAAGCUCCAGGUGGGAGCCUUCCUCUGCCCUUACCUCCAACCAUAAGGCAUGUGUCCCCUGUGAUUCUCCUG